rnacentral:ncRNA from 1 species
UUUCAUGCAGGAUAACUAAAAUAUGUAAUAAAGUAGUUAUAUUCGAUAAAAUGAAUAAUUAGAAGGAUUGUAGGAUGAAUUGUCAUCAACUUAUUCUCAAAUUUUCAAUGAAUAUAACAUUUUACUUGUUUAAAUCAAGCAUUAGAUAAUGUAUACUAUAAAUGGGCUAUAUUUGGUAAACAGAACUAGCAAUUAGCGCU